GAUGAACGCUGGCAGUGUGCCUAAAACAUGCAAGUCGGACGGUUCUGAGGUUAGAGGCUGGAGGCUAAGGGAUUAGCUUGCAGUCUCUAAUUUCAGGACAGUGGCGAACGGGUGAGUAACGCGUAAGUAACCUACCUCCAGGACGGGGAUAACAUUCCGAAAGGGAUGCUAAUACCCGAUGAGGUUAAGUGACUGAGAUGUCAAAUAACCAAAGGGAAGCGAAAGUGACCGCCUGGGGAUGGGCUUGCGUCCCAUCAGCUAGUUGGUAGGGUAAGAGCCUACCAAGGCAAAGACGGGUAGCUGGCUUGAGAGGGUGGUCAGCCACACUGGGACUGAGACACGGCCCAGACUCCUACGGGAGGCAGCAGUUAGGAAUCUUCCGCAAUGGGCGAAAGCCUGACGGAGCGACACUGCGUGAGGGAAGGAGUCCUUGGAGUGUAAACCUACUGUCGAGAGGGGAAGGAAACGAAGACGGUAACCCGUCCAAACGGAAGACCCCGGACGUAACCUAACGUGCCAGCAGCCGACC
rnacentral:rRNA from 1 species